GCCAACGUAGCUCAGUGGAAGAGCAGCUGUUUCGUAAACAGCAGGUCGGCGGUUCAAAUCCGCCCGUUGGCUCCA
rnacentral:tRNA from 4 species